UACAGAGGUCCCAAGCGUUGUUCGGAUUCACUGGGCGUAAAGGGUGCGCAGGUGGUUUGGCAAGUUUGACGUGAAAGCCCCGGGCUUAACCCGGGAACUGCAUUUGUGACUGCAUAGCUAGAGUACGGUAGAGGGGGAUGGAAUUCCGCGUGUAGCAGUGAAAUGCGUAGAUAUGCGGAGGAACACCGAUGGCGAAGGCAAUCCCCUGGACCUGUACUGACGCUCAUGCACGAAAGCGUGGGGAGCGAACAGG
rnacentral:rRNA from 1 species